rnacentral:rRNA from 1 species
CCUACGGGAGGCAGCAGUGGGGAAUAUUGGGCAAUGGGCGUAAGCCUGACCCAGCAACGCCGCGUGAAGGAAGAAGGCUUUCGGGUUGUAAACUUCUUUUGACAGGGAAGAGCAGAAGACGGUACCUGUCGAAUAAGCCACGGCUAACUACGUGCCAGCAGCCGCGGUAAU